ensembl:piRNA 21ur-1098 ncRNA
UGUCCUUUUGAUAUGAUGACU